rnacentral:rRNA from 1 species
GUAGGUGGCAAGCGUUGUCCGGAAUUAUUGGGCGUAAAGCGCGCGCAGGCGGUUCUUUAAGUCUGAUGUGAAAGCCCACGGCUCAACCGUGGAGGGUCAUUGGAAACUGGAGAACUUGAGUACAGAAGAGGAAAGCGGAAUUCCACGUGUAGCGGUGAAAUGCGUAGAGAUGUGGAGGAACACCAGUGGCGAAGGCGGCUUUCUGGUCUGUAACUGACGCUGAGGCGCGAAAGCGUGGGGAGCAAACAGGAUUGGAUACCCUGGUAGUCCACGCCGUAAACGAUGAGUGCUAAGUGUUAGGGGGUUUUCCGCCCCCCUUAGUGCUGCAGCUAACGCAUUAAGCACUCCGCCUGGGAGUACGGCCGCAAGGCUG